UAAUACAUGCAAGUCGAGCGAACAGAUAAGGAGCUUGCUCCUUUGACGUUAGCGGCGGACGGGUGAGUAACACGUGGAUAACCUACCUAUAAGACUGGGAUAACUUCGGGAAACCGGAGCUAAUACCGGAUAACAUAUUGAACCGCAUGGUUCAAUAGUGAAAGGCGGCUUUGCUGUCACUUAUAGAUGGAUCCGCGCCGUAUUAGCUAGUUGGUAAGGUAACGGCUUACCAAGGCAACGAUACGUAGCCGACCUGAGAGGGUGAUCGGCCACACUGGAACUGAGACACGGUCCAGACUCCUACGGGAGGCAGCAGUAGGGAAUCUUCCGCAAUGGGCGAAAGCCUGACGGAGCAACGCCGCGUGAGUGAUGAAGGUCUUCGGAUCGUAAAACUCUGUUAUCAGGGAAGAACAAAUGUGUAAGUAACUGUGCACAUCUUGACGGUACCUGAUCAGAAAGCCACGGCUAACUACGUGCCAGCAGCCGCGGUAAUACGUAGGUGGCAAGCGUUAUCCGGAAUUAUUGGGCGUAAAGCGCGCGUAGGC
rnacentral:rRNA from 1 species